ACCGUUAUCGGGAGGUAACGCUGAACAUACAGAAGUCAGCAGAGGUCAUACUAGCUGAAAAGUUUUUUUUUUUCAGUGAAGGAC
rnacentral:ncRNA from 1 species